rnacentral:rRNA from 1 species
AGGACGAACGCUGGCGGCGUGCUUAACACAUGCAAGUCGAGCGGAAAGGCCCUUCGGGGUACUCGAGCGGCGAACGGGUGAGUAACACGUGAGCAACCUGCCCUUAGCUCUGGGAUAGCUCCGGGAAACCGGAAUUAAUACCGGAUAUGACCUAGGCCGACAUCGGCCGUGGUGGAAAGUUUUUCGGCUAGGGAUGGACUCGCGGCCUAUCAGCUAGUUGGUGGGGUAAUGGCCUACCAAGGCGACGACGGGUAGCCGGCCUGAGAGGGCGACCGGCCACACUGGGACUGAGACACGGCCCAGACUCCUACGGGAGGCAGCAGUGGGAAUCUUGCGCAAUGGGCGAAAGCCUGACGCAGCAACGCCGCGUGAGGGAUGAAGGCCUUCGGGUUGUAAACCUCUUUCGAGCAGGGACGAUAAUGACGGUACCUGCAGAAGAAGCUCCGGCCAACUACGCGCCAGCCAGCCGC